GUUAUCACGGGAGACACACGGCGGGUGCUAACGUCCGUCGUGAAGAGGGAAACAACCCAGACCGCCAGCUAAGGUCCCAAAGUCAUGGUUAAGUGGGAAACGAUGUGGGAAGGCCCAGACAGCCAGGAUGUUGGCUUAGAAGCAGCCAUCAUUUAAAGAAAGCGUAAUAGCUCACUGGUCGAGUCGGCCUGCGCGGAAGAUGUAACGGGGCUAAACCAUGCACCGAAGCUGCGGCAGCGACGCUGAUGCGUUGUUGGGUAGGGGAGCGUUCUGUAAGCCUGCGAAGGUGACCUGUGAGGGUUGCUGGAGGUAUCAGAAGUGCGAAUGCUGACAUAAGUAACGAUAAAGCGGGUGAAAAGCCCGCUCGCCGGAAGACCAAGGGUUCCUGUCCAACGUUAAUCGGGGCAGGGUGAGUCGACCCCUAAGGCGAGGCCGAAAGGCGUAGUUGAUGGGAAACGGGUUAAUAUUCCCGUACUUGGUGUUACUGCGAAGGGGGGACGGAGAAGGCUAUGUUGGCCGGGCGACGGUUGUCCCGGUUUAAGCGUGUAGGUGUGUGUUCCAGGUAAAUCCGGUUCACUUUAACACUGAGGCGUGAUGACGAGGCACUACGGUGCUGAAGCAACAAAUGCCCUGCUUCCAGGAAAAGCCUCUAAGCAUCAGGUAACAUCAAAUCGUACCCCAAACCGACAC
rnacentral:rRNA from 1 species